CCUACGGGGGUCAGCAGUGAGGAAUAUUGGUCAAUGGACGCAAGCCUGAACCAGCCACGCCGCGUGCAGGAAGACGGCUCUAUGAGUUGUAAACUCCUUUUGUACGGGGGUAAACGCAGAUACGUGUAUCUGUAUGAAAGUAUCGUGCGAAUAAGGAUCGGCUAACUCCGGGCCAGCAGCCGGUGUAAUCCGGAGGAUUCAAGCGUUAUCCGGAUUUAUUGGGUUUAAGGGGUGCGUAGUCGGUCGGAUAAGUUAGAGGUGAAAUCCCGAGGCUCAACUUCGGAAUUGCCUCGGAUACUGUUCGGCUAGAGAGCAGUUGCGGUAAGCGGAAUGCAUGGUGUAGCGGUGAAAUGCGUAGAGAUCAUGCAGAACACCGAUGGCGAAGGCAGCUUACCAGGCUGCUACUGACGUUGAGGCACGAAAGCGUGGGGAGCAAACAGGAUUAGAUACCCGAGUAGUC
rnacentral:rRNA from 1 species